CUGUUUACCAAAAGACAUAGCCCUUUAAAAUAUAAAAGGUGUUGCCUGCCCAAUGACUUAAAAAUAAUGUAAAAUAUUUGAAUAAUAGUUUAAAGGACGCGGUAUCUUGACCGUGAUAAUGUAGCAUAAUCAUUCGCCAUUUAAUUGAUGGAUAGUAUGAAUGGCUAAACGAGUAUAACAUUGNUCUCUAAUAGAAAUAAAAUGAAAUUAAAAUAUUAGUAAAGAUGCUAAUUAAAGUUGUAAGACGAAAAGACCCUAUAGAGCUUAACUAUAUUUUWUUGUUAUAAGAGAAGUUUACUUCAAGUAAUAAGAAUUGGUAGUUUGGUUGGGGCGACCACUUUCUAAAAUUAACGAAAGCAAGCAAAAUUCAUUAAAUGAUUUACUGUAUAAAUAAUUGUUUUAACAGUUAUAAUUAUAGGCAACAAUGACCYGUUUAUAACGAGAACAAGUUUAAACGAUCAAUAGAUAAAAGCUACCUUAGGGAUAACAGGAUAUUUUAUUUUAGAGUUCAUAUCAAAGAUAAAGUUUGUCACCUCUAUGUUGAAUUAAGAUAUCCUAGUAAUGCAGAAGUUAUUAAAGGUAGGUCUGUUCGACCUUUAAAAUCUUACAUGAUUUGAGUUCAUUCCGUCGCAAGACAGGAAGGUUUCUAUCU
rnacentral:rRNA from 1 species